rnacentral:rRNA from 1 species
CAACAGCUCAAAUUUGAAAUCUGGCCCCCUCGGGGCCCGAGUUGUAAUUUGUAGAGGAUGUUUCGGGUGUGGCUCCGGUCUAAGUUCCUUGGAACAGGACGUCAUAGAGGGUGAGAAUCCCGUAUGUGACUGGCAGCCUACGCCCAUGUGAAACUCCUUCGACGAGUCGAGUUGUUUGGGAAUGCAGCUCAAAAUGGGUGGUAAAUUUCAUCUAAAGCUAAAUAUUGGCCAGAGACCGAUAGCGCACAAGUAGAGUGAUCGAAAGAUGAAAAGCACUUUGGAAAGAGAGUUAAACAGUACGUGAAAUUGUUGAAAGGGAAGCGCUUGCAACCAGACUUGCGUGCGGCCGAUCAUCCGGUGUUCUCACCGGUGCACUCGGUCGUGCUCAGGCCAGCAUCGGUUUCGGCGGCUGGAUAAAGGCCAUGGGAAUGUAGCUCCUCUCGGGGAGUGUUAUAGCCCGUGGUGCAAUGCAGCCCGCUGGGACCGAGGACCGCGCUUCGGCUAGGAUGCUGGCGUAAUGGUUGUAAGCGACCCGUCUUGAAACACGGACCAAGGAGUCUAACAUCUAUGCGAGUGUUUGGGUGUCAAACCCAUACGCGGAAUGAAAGUGAACGGAGGUGAGAACCCUUAAGGGUGCAUCAUCGACCGAUCCUGAUGUCUUCGGAUGGAUUUGAGUAAGAGCAUAGCUGUUGGGACCCGAAAGAUGGUGAACUAUGCCUGAAUAGGGUGAAGCCAGAGGAAACUCUGGUGGAGGCUCGCAGCGGUUCUGACGUGCAAAUCGAUCGUCAAAUUUGGGUA